UGAGCAAUCUGCCCUUCUCAUCGGAAUAAGCGUUGGAAACGACGUCUAAUGCCGAAUACGACCUCCUUUCGCAUGAUCGGAGGUGGAAAGCUCCGGCGGAGAAGGAUGAGCUCGCGGCCUAUCAGCUAGUUGGUGUGGGUAAUGGCCCACCAAGGCGACGACGGGUAGCCGGCCUGAGGAGGGUGACCCGGCCACACGUGGGACUGAGACACGGCCCAGACCUCCGUACGGGAGCAG
rnacentral:rRNA from 1 species